CGGGUGGCUCCAGCAGUGGGGAAUCUUGCGCAAUGGGGGAAACCCUGACGCAGCGACGCCGCGUGGAGGAUGAAGGUCUUCGGGUUGUAAACUCCUUUUCUUGGGGAAAAUAGUGAUGGUACCCAAGGAAUAAGCCACGGCUAACUCUGUGCCAGCAGCCGCGGUAAGACAGAGGUGGCGAGCGUUGUUCGGAAUUACUGGGCUUAAAGGGCGAGUAGGCGGUGGAGUAAGUCUGUGGUGGAAUCCUACGGCUUAACCGUAGAACUGCCAUAGAAACUGUUUCACUUGAGUCAGUGAGGGGAGGGCGGAAUUCCUGGUGUAGCGGUGAAAUGCGUAGAUAUCAGGAGGAAGGCCUGUGGCGAAGGCGGCCCUCUGGUACUGUACUGACGCUGAGGCGCGAAAGCGUGGGGAGCAAACAGGAUUAGAUACCCGAGUAGUC
rnacentral:rRNA from 1 species